rnacentral:lncRNA from 1 species
CUUGGCAAUCCCACUUUAGGUCUAAUCUAGACCUAUCAUUAGAGUCAACUUUCAUUGAAAUUUCAUGGAAUUCUUAUUGGUUGUUUUUGGUUUGUUUUUUUUUAACUUGAAAGGUGUUCAAAGAGGACAGAAUUUUUAGUGAAUUGGAUCCAAGAGCCAUUUCAUCAUGCUCAAAGCAGAUGUUAUCAGGAAGGAUCAUUUGUAUUGGCAGUCCUUCAAAAGGUUACCCUCUAACCAUGCUCAAAUCAGGUAUUUGGUCUGGCUGCCUGACAGAAGGCUGUGAAAAACAGCCCCCAGCUCUCUCUUGGUCUGUCUCACACCAGUGUGGAGCCCAGGCUGGCACUGCCCAGGCUGUCACUACCCAGCUGUCCCACAGAAGAUGCUGACAAGCUGUAGCACCUUCACUUCUGAAAACUGCCAGAGUCAAAGGGAAGGAUGGGAAGGAUAUUCUGCUUUUCACAGAAGCUGGACAUGCAGCAAAAGGGGUGCUGUAACCUGAACAUUUGCAGCACGAUAUAGCUGGACAAAGAGGCUACACAGACCCAAUCAGAAUGUUAUCUACAAGAUAAAUAUUUGAACUGAAGCAGGCUCUUCAGGCCCUCUGUUCAUGUGCCACACACUGCAUGCACUGGCAGCUGUCCCAGUGACACAGUGAGCUGGAAUUGUGCUGCUCAGGUGCACGUGCUCCCACACUCUGAGCUAGCUUGGAACACAAAAGGUCUUCAUGAGCUCCAGUUCUGUGCCCAUAAUCAUGAUCAUCCUCUGUAGUCAGAAGGAAGCAGGCACAUCUUCCACAAAUUACUGAAAGAAUUACCGAAGAUGGGCAUUGUGGUUACAGCUGUA